UGCUAAUACCGAAUGUGCCCUUCGGGGGAAAGAUUUAUCGCCUUUAGAGCGGCCCGCGUCUGAUUAGCUAGUUGGUGAGGUAAAGGCUCACCAAGGCGACGAUCAGUAGCUGGUCUGAGAGGAUGAUCAGCCACAUUGGGACUGAGACACGGCCCAAACUCCUACGGGAGGCAGCAGUGGGGAAUCUUGCGCAAUGGGCGAAAGCCUGACGCAGCCAUGCCGCGUGAAUGAUGAAGGUCUUAGGAUUGUAAAAUUCUUUCACCGGGGACGAUAAUGACGGUACCCGGAGAAGAAGCCCCGGCUAACUUCGUGCCAGCAGCCGCGGUAAUACGAAGGGGGCUAGCGUUGCUCGGAAUUACUGGGCGUAAAGGGAGCGUAGGCGGACAUUUAAGUCAGGGGUGAAAUCCCGGGGCUCAACCUCGGAAUUGCCUUUGAUACUGGGUGUCUUGAGUAUGAGAGAGGUGUGUGGAACUCCGAGUGUAGAGGUGAAAUUCGUAGAUAUUCGGAAGAACACCAGUGGCGAAGGCGACACACUGGCUCAUUACUGACGCUGAGGCUCGAAAGCGUGGGGAGCAAACAGGAUUAGAUACCCUGGUAGUCCACGCCGUAAACGAUGAUUGCUAGUUGUCGGGAUGCAUGCAUUUCGGUGACGCAGCUAACGCAUUAAGCAAUCCGCCUGGGGAGUACGGUCGCAAGAUUAAAACUCAAAGGAAUUGACGGGGGCCCGCACAAGCGGUGGGAGCAUGU
rnacentral:rRNA from 1 species